CAUAAGCUCACUAAUGGGGUAGAAAUAGAUAGGAAUGGUCUGAUUGGAAGAAAACUAUACCGAAAACCCACUGUACUUUAGAAAAUAGCUCUGAGUGUCCACUUUCAAAAGAAUUAUAAAUUAUUAAUCAUGAUUCCCACAACACACCUCUGGAUUUUUAGGUGGAGUGUGGUGAAUCCAAGAUAAACCAAAAAAUCAUUCUUAUCCUCUUGAAGUCUCCUAGAAUGAUCCUGCUGGACUUCUGCACCUAUCAAGAUUUCACUAAUUUCCAGCUUAUAAGUGACACUUGCAUCGGUACGGAAGAUAUUCAUCGUCCUCGACGAACGGUUGA
rnacentral:lncRNA from 1 species